rnacentral:rRNA from 1 species
AGUGAACGCUGGCGGUAGGCCUAACACAUGCAAGUCGAACGGCAGCACAGUAAGAGCUUGCUCUUACGGGUGGCGAGUGGCGGACGGGUGAGGAAUACAUCGGAAUCUACUUUUUCGUGGGGGAUAACGUAGGGAAACUUCCGCUAAUACCGCGUACGACCUACGGGUGAAAGCAGGGGAUCUUCGGACCUUGCGCGAUUGAAUGAGCCGAUGUCGGAUUAGCUAGUUGGCGGGGUAAAGGCCCACCAAGGCGACGAUCCGUAGCUGGUCUGAGAGGAUGGUCGGCCACACUGGAACUGGGACACGGUCCAGACUCCUACGGGAGGAAGCAGUGGGGAAUAUUGGACAAUGGGCGCAAGCCUGAUCCAGCCAUACCGCGUGGGUGAAGAAGGCCUUCGGGUUGUAAAGCCCUUUUGUUGGGAAAGAAAAGCAGCAGGUUAAUACCCCGCUGUUCUGACGGUACCCAAAGAAUAAGCACCGGCUAACUUCGUG